AGUCAACAUGCCCAGAGGACGUGGAUAACCUCGGGAAACUGAGUCUAAACCGCGAUAAGUGAGGAUUUCUGGAAUGGUUCCUGACUAAAAUCUAUAUGGCCUCUGGAUUGGACUGCGGCCGAUCAGGCUGUUGGUGAGGUAAUGGCCCACCAAACCUGUAACCGGUACGGGCUCUGAGAGGAGGAGCCCGGAGAUGGGCACUGAGACAAGGGCCCAGGCCCUAUGGGGCGCAGCAGGCGCGAAACCUCUGCAAUAGGCGAAAGCCUGACAGGGUUACUCUGAGUGACUUUCGCUAAGAAAGUCUUUUGGCACCUCUAAAAAGGGUGCAGAAUAAGGGGUGGGCAAGUCUGGUGGCAGCCGCCGCGGUAAUACCAGCACCCCGAGUGGUCGGGACGAUUAUUGGGCCUAAAGCAUCCGUAGCCGGUUCUGCAAGUCCCCCGUUAAAUCCAGCUGCUCAACAGAUGGGCCGCGGAGGAUACUACAGAGCUAGGAGGCAGGAGUGGCAAGCGGUACUCAGUGGGUAGGGGUAAAAUCCGUUGAUCCAUUGAAGACCACCAGUGGCGAAGGCGGCUUGCCAGAAUGCGCUCGACGGUGAGGGAUGAAAGCUGGGGGAGCAAACCGGAUUAGAUACCCGGGUAGUCCCAGCCGUAAACGAUGCAGACUCGGUGAUGGGUUGGC
rnacentral:rRNA from 1 species